AGGGUGUCGUAUGGGAGGGAGGGAAGCAGCUGUUGUGUCUCAAGUUUGCGUUUCAGUCCUCGUUGGGGCGGGCCUCCAGGGCCGCUGUCCGAGAGCGCUGUCUGCACAGAGGGACCCGGCGAGUCCUGGCUCAGAUGGUGGGAGGCGCACUCUGAAUGGUGCUGGCGGGCUUAGGCGUUGCUAAGAGCCGGUCUUGCAGAGCUCCGCUGGGCGGAGCCACACCCUUCGCCCUGGGAUGGGCGUGCCUCCUGGAGGGCGAUGGGGACGCCCCGGGGCCCGGGCUCCGCGCUCCGCUUGAGAGGACCGGCUCUGUUACGUGUGCUAAGAAACUCACACCGAGUCUGAACUCGUUCCGUCCUGCCUGUGCUGAUCUAGACGGUUCUAAGAACUCCGAGGGCAGAAAUCCCUCACUGCCUUUACGGGUUGCCUCAUGGCCCUCUUUGGUGCUCCUGCAAGCACCCUGUGUGAUGGAUGCAGUUUAGAAGCCUCUUUGUUUUCUGUUGAUGCUGUAACAGCUCCUAAGGAACUGAGGCCCUCGGUCCAACGGCCCACGGGGAACUGAAUCAUGAGUGAGCUUGGGAUCAGACCCACCACAGUGGAGCCUCAGGAUGUCUGCAGCCUGUGCAAGACCCUGAGCGGCGGGCCCAGCUAAGCUGCACCCAGAUCUCUCACCUGCAGACACUGUGUAGUAAAUGUUGUUCUAAGCCACUAAGUUUUGCAGUAGUUUGUAUGCACUAAUAGAUGACUAAUACGUGCCACAAAUGGCUUGAUGAAAUCCAUUGGCUUUAAGGAAGGGCUCUGUGGCGCUGGUGUAAGCUCAGGGAAGCGCCUGCUCUGUGUUUGUGCCCCUCUCUCACCCCACAGGGUAAGUGUAUGUGCACUUGGCACGAGGAGCCAUGUGUCUGGCUGUGUGCCCAUGACGAGGGAGCUAAGCAGUGCCACUGCCCACUCCCAGCCACCUUGGAGCCACUGCGCCCUUUCACUACCUGACUAGAAUGCUCUUCCCUCAAGACCUGGGAAGUAGAAAUAACAUCUCCACCCCUCUGAAAAAGUCUGUCCCGAAGGAAUCUCUGUCCACCUAAACCUCAAUUGCUCCCUGUAGGACAGAAAUGAGGAACUUUAUUCUUGAGAUGGAAAGAAUGGAGGAAUCUAGCCCUGUGGCCAGAGCAGGACUUUCAGAGAGCAGAAAGGCUUGACUGUCCACUCACUGUCUAGAGUCGUUGGUCUCCAAAAUGAGCAAGAGAAUCCUCUGGGAUAUGGGAGAAAAUACUAUUUUUAUCCAGAAAAAUAAGAAACUAAUCUUUACCAAUAUCCACUCUACAAUGUGACCCGGAAGCCUCUCAGUCCAUGUGGGCCGGCCACACAUCAGGUCAGCUUUGAGAGAACAGUCCAGGGGUGGGCCCAGCACAGAGCGGCAGGCCGCGGCUGCCACCCCUUAAUACACUGCUGGAGCGUCACUGGGUGCUGCUGUAGGGUUCAAGCCCCAGCUAACAGGACUGAUUAUAUUACGUAUAUAUUAAUAUUAACCAAAAUUGACCCUGGAUAAACAGACAAGGGCCUGAGCAUUGCUCAGAGAAACUGCAAUCUGAACGACAAUGUGCAAGCACAGAACUUUAAGAAAAUGGCGGAGCUGAUUCUGCUCCUGUCCCUAGUUUGUCGACCAAUUAAUCAUUGUUGGGGUUUUUUUACCUUGUAAUAAAAUUUAGCAAGAGGUUGACAAAAAAUAUUAAAAAUUAUCAAGAAGAUAAUGUGAAGUACAGUGGAAUUUGCUCUAAGUGUAUAUUGUGCCUCCAGAGAUUUGCUAGUGGUGUACCAACUGUAUAAAACUUAUAGACAAAUUAUAUAUGUGCACGUAUAUAUAAAUAUAUUCAACUAUUUUACUUUUUUUUUUUUGAGGAAGAUUAGCCUUGAGCUAAUAUCUGCCAU